rnacentral:rRNA from 1 species
UGAGGAAUAUUCCGCAAUGGAGGAAACUCUGACGGAGCAACGCCGCGUGCAGGAAGACGGCCUUCGGGUUGUAAACUGCUUUUCUCAGGGAAGAGCAAGGACGGUACCUGAGGAAGAAGCCCCGGCUAACUACGUGCCAGCAGCCGCGGUAAUACGUAGGGGGCGAGUGUUAUCCAGAAUUAUUGGGCGUAAAGCGCACGCAGGCGGUUCGCCAAGUUCGCAGUGACCAUCCCCGGCUUAACCGGGGAACGAUUGCGAAAACUGGCGGACUGGAGAGCGAGAGAGGGACAUGGAACUCCGGGUGGAGCAGUGACAUGCGUAGAGAUCCGGAAGAACACCAAGGCGAAGGCAGUGUCCUGGCUCGUUUCUGACGCUGAGGUGCGAAAGCUAGGGGAGCGAACGGGAUUAGAUACCCCCGUAGUCC